rnacentral:rRNA from 2 species
AUGCAAGUGUAAGUACGAGCUCUCGUACAGUGAAACUGCGAAUGGCUCAUUAAAUCAGUUAUGGUUCAUUUGAUCGUACGUGUUUACUUGGAUAACUGUGGCAAUUCUAGAGCUAAUACAUGCGAUGAGCGCCGACCUCGCGGGAGGCGUGCUUUUAUCAGACCAAAAACCGACCGGGUUUUGCUUAACGGCUGGCCCGUGCUCAAUGGUGACUCUGGAUAACCUAGCGGAUCGCACGGUCUUGCACCGGCGACGGAUCAUUCAAGUGUCUGCCCUAUCAACUUUCGUCGGUACGGUAUCCGCCUACCGAGGUUCUUACGGGUAACGGAGAAUCAGGGUUCGAUUCCGGAGAGGGAGCCUGAGAAACGGCUACCACA